GCAGCUGAAUUUAAGCAUAUUACUAAGAGGAGGAAAAGAAACUAACCAGGAUUCGCCCAGUUACAGCGAAUGAAGAGGGA
rnacentral:ncRNA from 1 species